UCGAGGAUCUUUGGCAAUGAGCGCAAGCUUGACCAAGCGACGCCGCGUGUGCGAUGAAGGCCUUCGGGUUGUAAAGCACUGUCGAGGGGGACGAAGCCGCAAGGUUGACCGAUCCCUGGAGGAAGCACGGGCUAAGUUCGUGCCAGCAGCCGCGGUAAGACGAACCGUGCGAACGUUGUUCGGAAUCACUGGGCUUAAAGGGCGCGUAGGCGGCUUGCCAAGUCAGUGGUGAAAUCCUGCAGCUUAACUGCAGAAGUGCCUUUGAUACUGGCGAGCUAGAGGGAGGUAGGGGUAUGUGGAACUUCUGGUGGAGCGGUGAAAUGCGUUGAUAUCAGAAGGAACGCCGGUGGCGAAAGCGACGUACUGGACCUCUUCUGACGCUGAGGCGCGAAAGCUAGGGGAGCAAACG
rnacentral:rRNA from 1 species